rnacentral:misc_RNA from 1 species
AUGAUGUCCUGGUUCGCUAGGCAGCAC